rnacentral:rRNA from 1 species
GAAGCCGGAAUUGCUAGUAAUGGCAGGUCAGCAUACUGCCGUGAAUACGUUCCCGGGCCCUUGUACACACCGCCCGUCACACCAUGAGAGUUGGGAAUACCCGAAGCCUGUGAGCUAACUUUAAGAGGCAGCAGUCGAAGGUAGAAUCAAUGAUUGGGGUGAAGUCGUAACAAGGUACC